rnacentral:rRNA from 1 species
CGCGCGCGGAGGGCGGGGCGGGGGCACGGGGGGCUUACGGGAGGCAGCAGUGGGGAAUAUUGGACAAUGGGCGAAAGCCUGAUCCAGCAAUGCCGCGUGAGUGAUGAAGGCCUUAGGGUUGUAAAGCUCUUUUACCCGGGAUGAUAAUGACAGUACCGGGAGAAUAAGCUCCGGCUAACUCCGUGCCAGCAGCCGCGGUAAU